rnacentral:lncRNA from 1 species
CCUACACAAACGUCUAUUGUGACCCUUAGACCCAUAACUACUGCAUGAGUUGAUGUUCUUAUUUCCAAAAAUAUCCCUUCCCGAUUUUUCACAAUCCUUCUCUGCAAGUCUUCCAGGAGAUCAUUUGUACUUGUAACACCCCGAAUCUGGUACCCAAAAUGCUACAUGAUUCUCAUGACCCCGAAGGACCACAAGCUAACCCAUGACUAAUAUUUGUACCUAUAUACUGCAUAAUAUACUAUAAAAUGCAAAAAUAUGAACUGAAAGGCCAUAAGGUUCAAACUGGGACGUAAGAUCUAAUAAUUCAUAACACAAGGAUGGGGUAUGAAAUACCCAAAACAGAACUGAAAUAAGCUAUCUGAAUAUACUGUAGUAUAAAAAGCCUCUAAAAUAUGAUUGUCUGAAUAAGGAGUUGAUGGGACAUGUCCCCAACUAACUCCAACUAAUAAAUUAAUUAAUGAGAUAAUAAGAAAUGAUCAUGUCCUCGAAGGAUGAGGACUUACUGAUAACUCUGUCUGUGAAUAUCUGGAAUUUACUGAUGCUCUGGAGCUCGUGUCUCUGAACCUAUGGUAUAAGACAUCAUAGCGCAAAUGCGUCAGUACUUUGAAUGCACUGGUAUACAUGUGAGGUAGGAUGGAUGCAUGGGGUUCAUAUGCAUGAACAAUACUGGCUAACUGACUAAUAUGAACAUGAGAAUACAUGCAUGCAUACAUAGUAACUAUAUCUGAAAUCGUGAUAACAUGAGUAUGCUGAUGACUAUCAUGACUAAUGACUGAGUUCUGAUAAGUGGUAUAACUGAUAAUAUGAGUGACUGUAUCUGAUAGGCCUGAAUCAGAGAUAAGGGAGACAGAGUUAUGAAAACUAAUAUUGAAAAUAAAAAAUCUAUUGGGAGAAAAUCUCUCCCUAAAAAAAACUCUUUCAGCGACUACAUUAUGGAUGCUAUUGUUAUAUUGUCAUUGUGGAUGCUAUUGUUAUAUUGUAUGAGAAGGGGAGUCUUCUAUUGUAUGAGAAGGGGAAUCUUCAACAAAAAUCUAUUGAUUUGUUGUUGUUGUUGGUUGGAUUUUUUUGAAGAUGGAUGAUAUUUAAAAAAAAAAACGGUUGAAAAAAAUUUAUUCUCCAAAAGAUAGAAAAAUAAAAAAAUAUGAGAAGAAAAGAAAAGCAAAAGAAAUUGCAAAGUCAAGCAAUGUUGAUGAUGAUGUUGAGAAAUCUUUUGCUAAUGAAUCUGAAAAAGACAUAGAGGAAGAGGUAUUUUUUUGUUGUAUAUAUAUUUUUAUUUACUGUUAUAUAUUUAGAGAUUUCAAUAAAGCUUUAUCAAUUGGGGUAAUAUGUAUUUUUUUGUGAAGCUAACACGUAUUUACUGAUUAGCUGAUAUGUAUUUAGGAAUUUCAGUAAAACUGAUUUGUGAAGAUGAUAGGUUAAAUAUACAUUUUGGAUUAACAUGUACUUAUUUGUAUUUUUCGUAAAGCUGCUAUGUUUAGUUUUCAUUAUUAUUAAAAGAGUAAAAGAAAUUAUAAAGAAAGAAUAGAAAAGAACAAAUGUAUCAUAUACGAUAUUUUCUACAGCAAUGUCUAUUGUGACCCUUAGACCCAUAACCACUGCAUGAGUUGAUGUUCUUCUUUCCAAAUAUAUUUCUUCCUGAUUUUUCCCAAUCUUUCUCUAUAAGUCUUCCAAGAGGUCGUAUGUACUUGUAACGUCCCGAAUCUAGUACCCGAAAUGCUACACGGUGCUCAUGAUCCCGAAGGAUCACAAGCUAACCCAUGACUGAUAUCUGUACCUGUAUACUACAUAAUAUAUUAUAAAAUACAGAAACAUGAACUGAAAGGCCAUAAGGUUCAAACUGGGACAUAAGAUCUGAUAAUUCAUAACACAAGGAUGGGGUAUGAAAUACCCAAAACAUAACUAAAAUAAGCUAUUUGAAUAUACUGUAGUCUGAAAAGCCUUUAAAAUAUGACUAUUUGAAUAAAGAGUUGAUGGUACAUGUCCCCAACUAACUCCAACUAAUAAAUUAAUUAAUGAGAUAAUAAGAAAUGAUCAGGUACUCGAAGGAUGAGGACUCACUGAUAACUCUGUCUAUGGAUAUCUGGAAUCUACUGAUACUCUGGAGCUCGUAUCUCUGAACUUAUGGUAUAACAUACCAUAGUGCAAAUACGUCAGUACUUUGAAUGUACUGGUAUGCAUGUGAGGUAGGCUGGAUGAAUGGGGUUCAUAUGCAUGAACAAUACUGGCUAACUAACUAAUAUGAACAUGAGAAUACAUGCAUGCAUACAUAGUAACUAUAUCUGAAAUUGUGAUAACAUGAGUAUGUUGAUGACUAACAUGACUAAUGACUGAGUUCUAAUAACUGGUAUAACUGAUAACAUGAGUGUCUGUAUCUGACAGUCCUGAAUUUGAUGGAACUAGCUGAGUUCCAUACUGUAUCUGACAGUCCUGAAUUCUGAAGAAUUAUUUGAGUUCUUUUACUGAUACUGAUACUAAAACUGUGUGAAGUAGUUAUCUAACAGACAUGUCCCAAAUGAUGCAUUAUAGCUGAGUUGGGGUCCAAUCUGUGCCCUGAUUGGAAGGAUGUCAAUACUGCAUCACUGGUAAGGACAAUCUGUGAGUAACCCUCAUAUAACAGGUUAAGCCACAUCAUCUACCCUUAUAUAGCAGGCUAUGAUGUCUCAACCUAUGCUGGCUACAUAGUUCCUGAACGCAAGGAUUGCUUCUAAGAAUCAUACCCUCAUAUAACAGGUGAGUUCCCAUCCUUGGGUUCACUCGGUGCUAAUUUCUAAUCCCAUCUAAAUAGAUACUGAACACGAUUAACUAAACUGACUGGACAGAGUUAACUGAGUUUCGUUGACUGACGGAAUAUUACUGAGGUCUAAUAACUAACUUAGAUUUACUGAAGUUACUGAGUUUUCCUAAGUCAUGAGACUGUCUGAAUUCUACUAAACAUGGCUUGACUAAGAGUAUCUUGAAAACAUGACAUAGGCUCUAGGCAUACAACUAAAUUAUUGGGUACAAGUACCCCUAGGACUCGAUGAAAAGAAACUAACAAAGUAUGAAUUACUUGAAUACAUGACCAACAUCACAGUCCAGAAUUCAUUUGUUAAGGCAUUCCAUUAAACAUUUGAUAUGCAUAAACUUGUACAUAAAUGGGGAUUUCAUAUUAUCAUACUAGUAGGGCACUUUUCCUUCACAUACACAUUUAGUCAAACACAUGGUAAGCAUAGUAUAUGUAGACAACAUUACACAACAAGUAAACAUCAUGAUUCAACUCUAAUUUCACCAUUCAAGGUUUAAAUCACGGAUUCACAUGAAACUAAACCUAAAAUAUUCAAUUCCACUUAAGAUUUAUCACUAAACAUGGAAUAGAAUUUAAUUGGUCAUUAUCAACAUGAACAACAAAAACAAAUGCAAUAUGAAAUUUAUUACAAUCCAUACACUUGAUCUUUGAAUAGAGAUUUAUGGGCUUCAUGGACAAAAGGAGUCCAUGAAUGAACACUAUGCAUACCUGGGUUGAGUUUCUUGAAGUUCUUGAACUUGAAGAAUUUAAAUCUCUUAGUUCUUAAAGAAGAUUUGGAUUUUGUUCUUGGAUAUUAAAUGUUAGAGAGAAAACCAUAAUUUUGUUGUUGUAGAAGAAUAAUGAAUUUCUGAGCUUUGGUCGGAUAUAAUUGGGUAUAUAAACGGAUGGUAAAAGACCAAAAAACCCCUUUUAAAACGGCUUUAAUUUGGUGAAUUGGGACCUGUGACGGCUCGUGCGACAGUCCAUCAUUUCAACCAUCGUACGUGGACCAAUAAAAGGGCUUACUGCCUAAGUAGUGACGGCUUGUGCGAUGGUCCAUCGCAAGUUUGAUGGUCCAUCAACCUGUCCGUCACACCUUAUCCAGAAGGUUACCUCACUUUCUUGGCUGCAAUGGUCAAGGAGACGGUCCGUCGCUAGGUCGACGGUCCGUCAACCUGGCAGUCGUACUUGGGCAAUUCUGACAGCUCUAAGUAAAAUGUCCAUAACUUCUUACUCUGAUACUAUAUUUGGACGAAAUUGGUAUCAUUGGAAAGAUAAUUCAACUUCCCAAUUAAAAAUACCACAUGUGCAAAAGUAGAUUCAUCUUUCAGAGAAAGCUUCUAACAUUUUUGAGAUAAUUUUAAUCUAGAAAAAUGUAGAGUAUUACAAUAUAUCUCCCUUGAGAACAUUCAUCCUCGAAUGAGACUGAGAGUGAAGGGAAGAGCAUAAACUGACUUACAUACUAGACAUAACUGGCUGGAACAUGAUUUCAUGACUGACAUGACAGAUAACUGAAUAUAUCAUAAUGAACAUGCAUAUCUGAUGCAUGUGUAACUGAUUCAUGAAUGCAUGACUGGGUGUUCUGAGGAACUAAGUUUCUCACAAUAAGGGUGCAUGUCUGAUGCAUAAUUAUAUAACUGAACCGAUACAUGAAUGCAUGACUAAAUAUGCCAUGGUACUUGAUACCAAGUUUGUGAUGAACACUGAAUAUGAAACUGAGUAAGCUUAAAGAGAACUGUUACCUUGAGCUUGAUCUGAGUUGGCAGAGAAGAGGUGAGGAUACUUGGUAUGCAUGUUUUCUUCUGAUUCCCAAGUAGAUCCCUCGAUAGACUGAUUUUGCCAAAAAACUUUAACUAGAGGGACUUCUUUGUUCCUUAAUCUACGAGUCUGAUAGUCUAAGGUUUCAACUAGAAUCUCUUCAUAAGAGAGGUUGUUCUGAACAUCUACGCUCUGAAUAGGGACUACAAAUGAUGGGUCACCUAGGCAUUUCUUGAGCAAAGAGACAUGGAAUAUUGGAUAAACUGAGGCUAGAUCUGAAGGCAAUUCGAGCUCAUAAGCCACCUUAUCAAAAUGACUGAGAAUCUUGAAGGGGCCGACAUAUCAGGGACUGAGCUUUCUCUUCUUGCCGAAUUGCUUCACUCCCUUCAUGGGAGAGAUCUUUAGGUAAACAUAGUCACAAAUCUCGAACUCGAGAUCCUUUCUAUGAACAUAUGCAUAAGACUUUUGUCGGCUCUAAGCAUCCCGGAGUCUUUCUCUGAUCAACUGGACUUUCUCUAAGGCAUCGAAUACUAAGUUAGAACUGAGGUCUCACUAACUUUGAACCAACCAAUUGGAGAUCUACAUAUCCUACCAUAGAGAGCUUUGAAUGAAGCCAUAAGAAUACUGGAAUGAUAGCUGUUGUUGUAUGCAAAUUCAAUCAAAGGCAAGUGGUCAUCCCAACUACCCUUGAAAUCAAUUGGACACGCAUGCAAUAUAUCUUCUAAAUUUUGACUGGUCCUUUCUGCUUGACCAUCUGUCUAAGGAUGAAAGGUUGUACUGAGAUGAACUUGGGUACCAAGACCCUUUUGGAAUGCUUUUUAGAAAUGACAGGUGAACGGGGUACCUCUGUAUGAGAUAAUAGAUAACGGAACACCGUGCAAUCUGACCAACUCUCUGAUGUAGAGCUUGGUGUAAUCCUCGAUCGAAUAAGAGGUAUGAACUAGAAGGAAAUGAGCUGAUUUGGUCAUUCUAUCUACAAUGACCCAGAUUGAAUCAUGAUGCUAAUGGGUACGAGGAAAACCUAUCACGAAGUCCAUGUUCACUCCUUCCCACUUCCAAGUAGGAAUACUGAACUCCUGCAUGGACCCACUAGGCUUCUGAUGCUCUAUCUUAGCCUGCUGACAUGUAGAGUAUCUAGCCACAAACUCUGCAAUGUCUCUCCUCAUCCCACUCCACUAAUAUAUUUUCCAUAAGUUGUGGUACAUCUUUGUGGCCCCUGGAUGAAUAGAGUAGCGCGAACCAUGAGCUUCUGCGAGAAUUCACUGCCUUAAGUCAUCUACACCUAGAACACAGAGACAGCUCUGACACCGCAGAACACUAUCUCCCCCUUGGGAGAAAACCUCUACUUUUUGAUCCUUGACUGACUCUUUCAACUUGACUAAACUGGGGUCUCUAUCUUUGUUUUCUUUCACCUCGGAAACUAGAGAUGAUUCUGAACUACUCUGAACCCAAAGUCACCCUCUUCUAUAUCGACUAAGCAAACGCAUAGUCUGGCAAGCUGAUGGAAUUCCUAAGCUAAAUUCUUCUUACUAUCUUCGACAUGAGCAAUACUACCCAUAAAUAGUCUACUGAGAGCGUCGACCAUUACGUUGGCCUUGCUCGAAUGAUAAAGGAUACUCAUGUCAUAAUCUUUUAAGAUCUCUAAGCACCUUCUCUGAUGAAGAUUGAGAUCUUUCAGAGAAAAAACAUACUGAAGGCUCUUAUGAUCUGUGAACACAUCUAUAUGAACACCGUUUAGAUAAUGCCUCCAAAUCUUCAAGGCAAAAAAUACAGCUUCUAACUCAAGAUCAUGAGUAGGAUAAUUCUUCUCAUGGGGUUUAAGCUGUCUGGAAGCGUAGGCUAUGACCUUACCAUACUGCAUGAGGACAUAACCCAAACCUACUCUAGAUUCAUUACAAUACACUACGAACCCAUCUGAACUAUCUGGAAGUGCUAGAACUGGAGCUGAGGUAAGUCGAGUCUUCAACUCCUGAAAACUCUUCUCGCAAGGAUCUGGCCACUGAAACUUAACUUUCUUUUGAGUCAAUCUGGACAUAGGGGAUGCAAUAGAAGAAAAUCCUUUGACAAACCGUCUGUAAUAGCCAGCCAAACCCAAGAAACUCCUGAUAUCUAAUAGAGAGACAGGGCGAGUCCAGUUUCUUACUGCUUUAGUCUUUUGAGGAUCUACUAUAAUGCCAUCAUCGGAAAUGAUAUGAUCAAGGAAUGCUACUGACCUUAGCCAAAACUCCCAUUUACUAAAUUUGGUGAACAGCUGAUGAUCUCUAAGAGUCUGAAGUAUUGUUCUAAGAUGGUCGCAUGAUCUCGCUCACUGCGGAAAUAUACCAGAAUAUCAUCUAUGAAGACUAUAACAAACAUGUCUAAGUACUAUUUUAACAUGCGGUUCAUCAAGUCCAUGAAAGCUAUUGGGGCAUUGGUAAGACCAAAGGACAUAACUAGGAACUCGAAGUGACCAUAUCGAGUACGAAAAACUGUCUUCUAAAUGUCACAUUCUCUAACUCUGAGCUAAUGAUAACCAGAUCUGAGGUUUAUCUUAGAAAAAUAGCUGGCAUCCUAAAGUUGGUCAAAUAAGUCAUCGAUUCUGGGAAGAGAAACUUGUUCUUAACCGUGACCUUAUUAAGUUGAUGAUGGUCUAUAAACAUUCUGAGAGAACCAUCUUUCUUGCGCACGAAUAAGACUAGUGCACCCUACAGGGAAAGACUAGGCCUGAUGAAUCCCUUAUUUAAGAGAUCCUUUAACUUCUCUUUUAAUUCUCUGAGUUCUGUUGGUUCCAUUCUGUAUGGCAAAAUAGAUAUAGGCUGAGUACCUAGAAGAAGAUCAAUGUCGAAGUCUAUUUCCCUUUUGCGAGGAAUACUUGGAAGAUCUUUGGGAAAGACAUCUGAAAAUUCAUUCACGACUGGGACUGAUUUAAGAUUGGGAGUUUCGAAACUAGUGUCCUUAACUCAAACAAUAUGAAAGACACAUCCUCUAGAUAUCAUUUUUCAUGCCCGAAGGUAGGAAACAAGCUGAUCUCUAAAAACUGAAGUACUGCCCCUCCACUCUAGGAUGGGUUCAUUUCAAAACUAAAACUGAACUAUUCUGUUUCUGCAGUCGACUGUGGCAUAGCAGGAAUAAAGCCAAUCCAUGCCAAGAAUGACAUUAAAAUCAGUCAUCUCUAAUUCGACUAAGUUUGCUAAAGUGACUUUCUAAAAUAUCAUAAUCGGGUUGUUCCUGUAUACCCGUUGAGCUUUGACAGUUUUACCCAUUAGGGUAGAAACUGAAAAGGGCUUCGCUAAAAUUUUGGGACUGAUUUCGAAAUCGCCUGCUAUAUAGGGAGUAAAAAAAGACAAAGAAGCACCUGGAUCUAGCAAAGCAUAAACGUGCACAUGAAAGAUCUAUAACGUACCAGUAACCACAUCAAGAGAAUUUUCCUGAUCUUGUCGGGAUAGGAGAGCAUAGAGUCUAUUUGGGCGUUGCCCAUUAGUAGCGCUGAAAGUGGCCCCUUGCUGAUUUGGGCGACCGGACUGAGUUGAGGGACGACUCUGCUGACCCUGAGGACCUGGCUGAGGACAAUCUAUGACUCUGUGGCCUGACUUGCCACAUUUGAAAUAAAUACCAUACCUAGCUCUGUAAAUACCCUGAUGGUGCUUGCCAUAAGUCUGGCAAAGAGGAUAGGUGCGGGCACUACUAACACUGCCCUGAGACUUAGAGACUGGCACUCUAUCUUUGUUACCAUCCCUGAACUUAGGAGCUGGAUCACUAGCUGAGAAGGAGCUGGCAUUGAUGACUUGGGACGAAACUGAGAAUGGUUUCCUCCUUCUGAUUUAGGCUGAGCAAAAUUGAAACUACCUGUCUUCGCUCUGUUAUUCUACUUCUCUCUCAUCUUAACCUUUUGAUCUUCUAUCUACUGAGCAUGAGUUAUAAGCCUGGCUAAAGUCAUGUCACUAUUCAGCAUGGCGGAUAUGCACUCAUUAACCACACUAUCAUUCACCCCUAAAAUAAAUUUACUCAUCUUGGCCCUGCUAUCUACAACCAUAUAAGGGGCAUAUCUGGCUAAUUGAGUAAACUUAAGAGAAUACUCUUUCACCAUCAUGUUACCCUGCCUGAGGUUGAUGAAUUCUAACACCUUAGCUUCUCUAAGAUCUAGGGGAAAGAAUCUAUCAAGGAAAGCAGAAACAAACUCCUUCCACUAAACUGACCCUACAUCAACCACCCUCUCUGACUUUCACUACUUGUACCAAGUGUGAGUAACAUCCUACAACUGAUAUGCAGCUAGCUCAGCACUCUCAAUAGAGGUAACCCCCAUUAUAUCUGUAACCUUCUGAACCUGAUCUAGGAAUUACUGAGGGUCCUCAUCUACUUAGACCCGAGAAAGGAUAGAGAAUUCAUUCGGGUGAAGUCUCGAAUUCUUACUGCAGCUGAAUUGGCCACUGGGUUAGCCGGAACGACAGCUGAUCGUUCAUUCUGAGUAACAUUUGACUGAGUAAGAGUAGUGAAUAUAGCUCUAAUCUCUGCAUGGGAAACAUAUUCGUCCAAGGGUUCUUCUUGGACAGGCUGGGUUCUUCUCUUGGGAGGCAUGUUCUAAAAUAAAGAAAAAAAGCAGAUUAGACUAAGAGAUUGAUUUGAGAUUAUGCCCAUUAGAACGAUAUGAAUACUGAAAUAAGGGAAACUAUUCCUAAAACAUCUUAUAGACAACUGCACAUAAAUGUGACGUGCAAAACAUCCAUGUACAAGACUCUACUAGAUACGACUUUCAGACUUCCUAGAACUCUAUUGAACCUUAGCCUCUGAUACCAAGUUUAUAACACCUCGAAUCUGGUACCCGAAAUUCUACACGGUGCUUGUGACCCCGAAGGACCACAAGCUAACCCAUGACUGAUAUCUGUACCUGUAUACUGCAUAAUAUACUGUAAAAUAGAGAAACAUGAACUGAAAAGCCAUAAAGUUCAAACUGGGACAUAAGAUCUGAUAAUUCAUAACAUAAGGAUGGGGUAUGAAAUACCCAAAAUAGAACUCAAAUAAGCUAUCUGAAUAUACAGUAGUCUAAAAAGCCUCUAAAGUAUAAUUGUCUAAAUAAGGAGUUGAUGGGACAUGUCCCUAUGUAACUCCAACUAAUAAAUUAUUUAAUGAAAUAAUAAGAAAUGAUUAUGUCCUUGAAGGAUGAGGACUCACUGCUAACUCUAUCUGCGAAUAUCUGGAAUCUACUAAUACUCUGGAGCUCGUGUCUCUGAAUCUAUGGUAUAAGACACCAUAGCGCAAAUGCGUCAGUACUUUAAAUAUACCGGUAUGCAUGUGAUGUAGGUUGGAUGUAUGGGGUUCAUAUGCAUGAACAGUAUUGGCUAACUGACUAAUAUAAACGUGAGAAUACAUGCAUGCAUACAUAGUAACUAUAUCUGAAAUCGUGAUAACAUGAGUAUGCUGAUGACUAACAGAACUAAUGACUGAGUUCUAAUAACUGGUAUAACUGAUAACAUGAGUGACUAUAUCUGACAGUCCUGAAUCUGAUGGAACUAACUGAGUUUCGUACUGUAUCUGAGUUGACUGUAUCUAACAGUCCUGAAUUCUGAAAGAACUAUCUGAGUUCUUUUAUUGAUACUGAUACUGAAACUGUGGAAAGUAGUUAUCUAACCGACAUGCCUCAAAUGAUGCAUUAUAGCUUAGUUGGGGUCCAAUUUGUGCCCUGAGUGGAAGGGUGUCAAUACCAUGCCACUGGUAAGGACAAUGUGUGAGUAACCCUAUAUAACAGGUAACUCUAGUGAGAACGGUGGGAACCCUCAUAUAUUAGGUUAAGCCACAUCAUCUACCCUCAUAUAGCAGGCUAUGAUAUCUUAACCUAUGCUGGUUACAUAGUUCUAAAACACAAGGAUUGCUUCUAAGAAUCACACUCUCAUAUAACAGGUGAGUUCCCAUCUUUGGGUUCACUCGGUGCUAAUUCCUACUCCCAUCUGAAUAGACACUGAACAUGAUUAACUGAACUGACUGGACUGAGUUAAUUGAGUUUCAUUGACUAACGGAAUAUUACUGAGGUCUGAUAACUAACUUAGAUUUACUGAAGUUACUGAGUUUUCCUAAGUCAUGAGAUUAUCUGAAUUCUACUGAACAUGGUUUGACUAAGAGUAUCUUGAAAACACGACAUAGGCUCUAGGCAUACAGCUAAAUUGUAGGGUACAAGUAGCCCUAAGACUCGAUGGAAAGAAACUGACAAAGCAUGACUUACUUGAAUACAUGACCAACAUCACAGUCCAUAAUUCAUUUGUUAAGGCAUUCCAUCAAGCAUUUGAUAUGCAUAAACUUGUACAUAAAUGGGGAUUUCAUAUUAUCAUACUAGUAGGGCACUUUUCCUUCACAUAGGCAUUUAGUCAAACACAUGGUGACCAUAGUAUAUGUAGACAACAUUACACAACAAGUAAACAUCAUGAUUCAACUCUAAUUUCACUAGUCAAGGUUUUAAUCAUGGAUUCACAUGAAACUACACCUAAAAUAUUCAAUUUCACUUUAGAUUUAUCACUAAACAUGGAAUAGAAUUCAAUUGGUCAUUAGCAACAUGAAAAAAAAACAAACCCAACAUGAAAUUUAUUACAAUCCAUACACUUGAUUUUUGAAAAGAGAUUCAUGGGCUUCAUAGAUGAAAGGAGUCCAUGAAUGAACACUAUGCAUACCUGAGUUGAGCUUCUUGAAGUUCUUGAACUUGAAGAAUUUAAAUCUCUUAGUUCUUGAAGAAGAUUUGAAUUUUGUUCUUGGAUAUUAAAUGUUAGAGAGAAAAGCGUAAUUUUGUUGUUGUAGAAAAAUAAUAAAUUUCUGAGCUUUCGUUGGAUAUAAAUGGAUAUAUAAAUGGGUGGUAAAAGACCAAAAAGCCCCUUUUAAAAUGGCUUUAAUUUGAUGAAUCGAGACCUACGACGAUCCAUCACUGGGGCGACGGUCCGUCAUUUUGACCGUCGUAUGUGGACCAAGAAAAGGCUUAUUGCCAAAAUAGUGACGGCCUGGGCGACGGUUCGUCGCAAGUUUGACGGUCCGUCAACCUGUCCGUCUCACCUUAUCCAGGAGGUUGCCUCACUGUCUUGACUGCGACGGUCAAGGAGAUGGUCCGUCACUAGGUCGACGGUCCGUCAACCUGGCUGUUGCACCUGGGCAAUUCUGAUAGCUCUGAGUAAAACGUCCAUAACUUUUUACUCCGAUACUGUAUUUGGACAAAAUUAGUAUUGUUAGAAAGCUAGUUCAAUUUUCCACAUGAAUAAAAGUAAAAAUCUUAAAAAUACCACAUGUGAAAAAGUGGAUUCAUCUUUCAAAGAAAUCUUCUAACAUUUUUGGGAUAAUUUCAAGCUAGGAAAAAGACGGGGUAUUACAGUACUUCGGAGGCAGUACUAUUUCACCAAGUAUGCUAUCUGGAAUUAUCCAGUCAUCCUUGUGUGGUAAAGGAUAGAUUGGAACAUUAUACGUUUUCAAGACUAUUUUUGUCUUAUAAAGAUCACAACAAUAUGACCCCUUGAGGAGAUUCUUGUUAUCCAAGACCGCACAAACAUGUGUACAUGCUAUCUCAUCCAGUUGAAAUGCGUUACAUGAGCAUGGUUUUUCCUUGAGGCAAACAAUGAAAUGCGUUUCUUUUGUCAUGCAUCAUGUACACAUACUCUGUGGCUGGUAUAACCUAAUAAUAUUUUUAAAAAGUUAAAUUAAAAAAGGUCAAACACAAAGUUGUAAAUGCAUAUGCUACAAAAUGAUGCGAAAUAUAUAUUUGUUUUUUUUUUAAAACACAGCUGCAAAAUGCAAAUAUACAUAUUGCUAACAACAUAUGAAUUUUUUAUGUUUACUACAUAUGUGUACUUGUAAAUACAAUAACAGAUUUAAUACCAACAAAUUUCACAAAUAUACAUAUGAAUUACUGCAUAUGUAUUUAACAGUGAACAUUGAUUAUUGCAUAUUAUUUACUGCAUAUGUAUUUUUCUGCAUAACAAAGAACGUUGACUAACUUAACAGUUCUUUUUAAAGCACAUAUGUCCAUAGAUAUUAAACAUACAACAACAUAUACAUUUCAUACCAAUAUGCAGUAAUCAAUGUUAAACUUAAAACACAAUUGCAAUAAAUUUGUUAAACUUAAAUACAAACACAACCUAAAUUUUCAGCAGAAAAUAUAAUUGCAACAAAUUUGUUAAACUUAAAAUACAAACACAAUCAAAAUUUCUAGCAGAAAAUAUAAUAACAAAUUAUUUGUUCUAAGUUAACUACAGACAAAGAUGUUGACCUCCAUAAUCGAACACAACUAAUAUAUAUAUAUAUAAUCCAAAUUAUCAAAAUUAUAGAAAUAGUCUUAAAUUUUGAGAAUUAGACCUCUAAAAAAUAGAUUUUGAUAACUUUUUUAUUCUACCUGUUGAAUUUAAUACUGCAUUGCUUUUAACUCAAAAUUCAUUUAUAAAUUUUUUAAAAAAAAUUAACGACGACAACAAAAAAUUGAACGGAGCAUCAGUAAUGGUUGAAAAAAAAAAUUUGAAUCGAAAAAUAAUACUGAUUAAGUACCUUCAACAACAGUAAUGGUUGAAUUUGCAAUCGAUUGUUGAAUUCAAAUAAAUUGAACUGAAAAAUCUACAAUUGAAUUUGAUUCAACAACAUUAAUGCUUCAUUUUGAAACUGAUGUUGAAUUCGAAGAAAUUUCAAUCGAAUUUGAUUCAACAACAGUAAUGGUUGAAUUUCAAAGCGACGGUUGAAUUCGAACAAAUUGCAUAGAAAAAGGUUCAAAUGAUUUUGAUUUUGCAAUUUUUUUUUCUUUGGAUGAACAUGUUAAUGGAAAAAAUUGAAAUUUGAAUUUUUCUUAGUGUUGUUAACAUAUAAUGAAAAUCACGUGAUUUAAGAGGUUUUAAUGAAAAAAGAAUCUAUACAUUUAAUUAAUGGGUAAUUAUACCAUAUUUAGCUCAACUACUUUCAGUUAAUUAAGGACAGUAAAAUUAGCUGUAUAUGUAUUUUUAUAGCAACAGUUUCUAAAAAUACAAAAUACAAGUUGCUAUACUAAGUAAUUAUGAAAGUGUUGCUAUGAAACUGAUAAUUAUGGUCUUAAGUAUGCUAUUUGUGAAUUUUUCCCGGUUAUGGACUAUGAAUUUUUAUUAGUAACAUCAACUCUGAAAGUUAAAACAAUAUUUAGCUAAAUUUUGACUCAUAGUUGUAAUAACAAUAGUGUCAUUUGAUCUAUGCUAAGUCCGAACCCAAACUAUAUUAGCAUUUAUAUUUAUAAUUUUUCGAAUAUAACUUACAUAAAUCUCAAUCCUUUAGUAUCUAAUUACUCUCUAUAUUCGCUCUUUUUUAAAUUACAUAAAAUCUCUGCUUUUGAAGCAAACGGAUACAUCUUAUUACUCCAGAUACAUCAUUUUUUUUGACAUAUAGCUAACCAAUCAGUGGAAUUUUAAAAAAAUAACAAAAAUCUAAUCAAUUGUCACAUAAUUCAUGUGAUCACAUAUUUGUGACUGUUUUUGUAUCUUUGAUAAUGCAUAAAAAAUUCAAAAAUUUAAAUUUCAAUUACCAGAUCAAGCUAGUUCAAGCAAAUUCUUUCCAAUCUUGCAUCUCAAGUUUUUAAUUUUGAUUUUUAUUUUUCAGAUACAUCAUGAACAUCUCGAUUUUGUUAAGAAAUUCUGUUUGAUUUUCGGAUAUCAAAUAUAAAGGAUAUAAAUAUGAUGAAAUUGUAACUAAAGAGAAUAUAUUGUAUAUGAAUUCAAUUUUGGCUAUCGUAGCUGAAUUGAAAAUUAAUAAAUUCAGGAAAAUUAUUAAAAUUCAAUACAUCGUAGAAGGUAAUUCCUCACCAAUGAGAUUCAUAAGAUAAUUCACACAUAAUGCAUUAAAAAUAUAUAUAUAUUGUAUAUAAGUAUCACAGGACCAUCGUGGUACAUAAUUCUUAUGUAUCAGUAAAACAUAGAUCUCAUUUUGAUACAUAAGUCUUAUGUAUCAAUAAUACAAAAAAUAUUUCAAAACAGAUACAUUAUUUUUAUGUGAGAAUUGGAUCAAAAUAGUGUCAAAUAAGGGACAAUUUCAAUAAAUGGGUUUGUUAGAUUUUUCAUGACCAGAAUGGUGAAAACGCAUGAACAUAGAGCACCUUCAAUGUACAAUUUUCACGUUAAAAAAUAGACAGACGUUAAAAUAUAUUUACACUGAAGGUGCUCUACUUUCACGAGUCUUCAGUGAAUCUUUUACAUUUUAAGAAAAGGCUCAUUGAUAGUCAUGAGUCUUCUGUGAAUUUUACAUUUUUGAAUAAAAACUCAUUUCCUUCAAUGCACCUUCAACAUAAAUUUUAUUAUCUCGAAAUCUCAAAAGACUGUCAUCGACUGAAUUGAUGGAACAAGAGAAGACCAUUCUUUCACACACUAAAGACUCAUCUUUACAAUGCACCUUCAGUCAAAUUACAAAAACACCUUUCAGAGUUUUCUCCAAAAAAUAAUUCUUUAUCUUCACUCAUCUCAACUUUACAAAAUCACUAUCUUUACCUGAGGUCCCCCUUCUUCAUCUCAAUAAAAUAUAUUUACAUUAAAGGUGCUCUACUCUCACGAGUCUUCAGUAAAUUUUUUACAUUUUAAAGAAAGGCUCAUUAAUCGUCAUGAGCCUUCUGUGAAAUUUACUGUUCAAGAAUCUGAAAAAGGUUGCCAUUUUCUGAAUUGAUGGGAUAAUAGGGGAUAACUUUUUUCAUAUCCUAAAGACUCAUGGACAGCAAUGCACUUUCCACCAAAUUAAAAAUACACUCUUAUGCAGAGUGUCCUAAAAGUUAUUUUUUGUGCCUCUAUAUAUACGUACAUCCUCUUCAUUGUCAUGUAUAUUACUAAAUUCACAAAAACUAUUAUACUUUACAAUUGAUGUAUCCUUCAAUCUGAAUUAAAGUAAAAAGGUUAGUAAUUUUUUCUUAGUAUAUUGCUCUCCCUAUUGAGUAAAUAAUUUAUUAAUAACUUAAGUUAUUUUUACAGGUUUAAAAAUAUCGAAUGAGUGUCAUGUUAAAGUUACAUUGUAUUGCGUCGGCGAUGUCAUAUAUGAAUCUGAUACAGUUAGAUAUAGUUGUGUUGCUUGUGCAGUUGUUAAACUUUCACUAAAUGUUGAGUAUGAUUGGCUAGUUAGAAACUUACUUAUUAGAAUGAAAACUAAUCCAAAUGAGAUAAGGUUUGUUAUUUUGAAAAUAUGGUCAUUUUCAACUGUGCAGGAUAAUGCUCAUUAUUUUGAAAUUCCCAUACUUGAUAAUGAGUCUUUGCAAAUAUUUAUGGUGGUACCUGAUACGGUGUGUUAUAUGAUGAAUAUUGAUUUAUUGAAGAUGUAUAUUAAAACAGAAGCAUUAGAUGUUGUUGAACCUACACAUUACAAAUGACCCCCAAAGCAUUACAAGUUUACAACGAGGCUAUACACUUUUGGCACGCCAAAUCUUUACCAACCUCGCAACCCACUGUGAGUUUUUCAUUGAGAUUUACUGGAGUACAGAAUUAACACUUGUUUUUAUACCCAUUAUCAUAUACAACCAACCAAUGAAUAUGACAAUUUAACAGCAGGUUAAUCCAACAAACAUUUCUCAACUUUAAACAUAAGACAAUAAAAACAAAAAUAUUUAGCAAGUAUAAGAGCUGGAAGACUCUAUUGACUGCUAUAUAAAACUCUUUUAUGAUCUUGUAAAUUGUAAUGUAGAGUGGGAUUUUACUAAUAAUAUCACAUAACUUUAUGGCCAUCCAGAACUUACGUAAGGAAGCUGAAAGUAAAGCAUAAUUAUGCAGAUAAUUAUAAGGUAGUGUUGUACCAAAAUUUCAUGUCUGCCUGUAAAACACUGAUAACCUUAUCUAAAUUGAUGAUCCGAAUUAUUGAUCAAAUGACGAGUAAUUGUGUUAUACCAUUGCACAUAUUUUUUGUCAUCUUCGAGACAAUCAGGCUCAACAUUGUGAUUUCGUCUAUCUCUCCAGAUUUCAACCUCUUUACUUAAGAAAUGAUGUCAAUUAAAGUUAGCUCUACCUCUCCGAUUCAACUGAAAAUGUUUGGGAUCACACAAUAUUCUACUCGGAAUAUUUCGAAUCAACCCAAACUGACAUAGUACCCUAUCUGGAUAGUGCAACUCAACUACAUCCCAAGCUAUUAUGGGUACAAUAUCACGUCAAAUACUGAAACUAUUCACACAAUAAUCUGGUAAUGUAGUAAAAACAUCGGGACUAUAUGGCUGCCACACAAACUAUAUACAUAUAAAUUUAGUUAGUUUUUAUGACUUAAAAAAUUAAAAAAAAGAUAGAUAAAGCAAUUAUUCAAAAGUAAAAAAUACCUAACAUUCUAUAAGUAAAUUCAGUUGAUCACGAAAUAAAUAUAAUAGGCGAGGUGCUUCUGUAUCGUGGCAUAACCCAUUAGACCAGACACGAGCACGUGAUGGUCCUGGAAGGAUAGAAAUAAGCCACUCGUCAACUAGGAGAUUAGGAUCUCUCUGAGGCCUGAGAGGCAAAAUCCUAUCAUAUAUCUAUACCUUCACAUAUUCAUAUAAAUACAAUAAAUAAAUAUUAAAAAUGUGUUGCUUUAAGAAAAUAAAUUAAAGUAGCUAACCUGAAGUAAAGGUAAAAAACCACCAAUGACUCUAAUUCAUUUUUGCGAUGCACGACAAAGAUACCGAUAAAGUAUUGCAAGUGUUGUUGCACCCCAAGCAUAUUGACCAAUUUUGGAUAAAUCCGCAAGCAAAUAUAGAUACAUCAACUUAACUUUGUUACCCGAUGUGUCAACGACAAAUAUGCCUUCAAUAAUCCACAACAAGUACAAACGCACCCAUUGUUGAACAUCAACCUCACAACUCACAUCAGUAAUCAAAGGAAGAUUUGUAAUAUGUUUAAUCAAACAAGUCAUAAGAAAUCUACUACCCUAAAAUUCUCGAUCAAUAUCUACCCGUGUCCAACUAAAAAAAUCUAUCAUACGCGUUUGUCACUCUGUAGGGUCCAAGGUAAGAUCUAUUUCCGUCACAGAUAACCCAUCGACUGACAACCCAUAUAAUAUAGCUACGUCCUGCAACGUAAGUGUGGCCUCUCCAAAGUUUAAAUAAAAUGUGUAUGUUUCUGAUCGCCAUCUUUCUACCAACGUAGUGAUCAUAGCGUGAUCAAGUGGCGUGUGUCCAGUUACAUAUAUACCAUAAAAUUCAGCAUCGAGCAAGUAACGACACACACACUCAUGUAAUAGAUUUCUACUUAUGUAAUCCCAAAAGUCACCAUCAUACUAACAACAUGUCAAUGUGUCACAUGUGCCAUUAUUCCAAAUAUCUUCACUACGAUGACUAAUUUGUCCUACAAGGACACUCAAAUAAAUGGACCUAGAUGCACAAUAGGCGGUGUCAUAAGACCUAAAAUAUAAAGUAUGUGUUUGUUUGAUUCAAAAAUCAUUAAGCAUGAAAAGCUAAAUUGUGACAUGAAAAGCUAGAACAAAAAAUGAAGUUAACUUAUUUCUAAGAGCACUUGAAAUAAAUCAAAUUACAAAAAUAUUCUAUAGACUAUUUUAUAAGAAAAAAGUAAUAAUAGUAGUACAAUAAUAAUAUAAUAAAAAGAAUGUGAUGAAAGAUUACUAUACAAAUUUUAAGAGUAACUACAACUAAUGUAAGAAAAAAAAGAGCAUAAAGUUACCUUUUUUCUAAUUUGAAUGAUGAUUAACAUUCUAAAUUUCCAUCUUUCAAAUAAUAUUGUGAAGCUUUAUUUUUUAAUAUGUUAAAUAAAGCUUGUAGGGUCUUUAUCUUAAAGAAAAUGACAAUGGUGAAGAAGGGGGGCCUCUGAAAAAGAUAGAGACUUUCUCUUAGUAAAGUUGAGAUGAAGUCGAGAGUGUUUUUGUAAUUUGACUGAAAGUGCGUUGUAAAGAUGAGUCUUUAGUGUGUGGAAAAAUGGCCUUCUAUUGUCCCAUUAAUUCAGACGAUGACAGUUUUUUCUGAUUUCGAUAUAAUAAAAUUUAUGUUGAAGGUGCAUUGAAGGAAAUGAGUCUUUCUUCAAAAACGUAAAAUUCACAGAAGGCUCAUGACUAUCAAUGAGUCUUUCUUUAAAAUGUAAAAGAUUCACUGAAAACUCGUGAAAGUAGAGCACCUUCAUUGUAAAUAUAUUUAACGCUUGUCUAUUUUUUUUAAUGUAAAAAUUGCACACUGAAGGUGCUCUAUGUCCAUGUAUUUUCACUAUUUUGAUCAUGAAAAAUCUGACAAACCCAUUUAUUGGAAUUGUCCCUUAUUUGACAUUAUUUUGAUCCAAUUCUCAUUUUUAUGUAUCUAUACACAAAGUUCAGUAGGAUACAUAGUAUUUGUACCUUUUUAGAUGAUCCUGCAAUGUAUCUUCAUGUCCUUGACCAUUCCGCCAUUAAUAAAGGAUACCUCAUAAAGUCCGCGACACACUACUCUUCUAUACCUCCAUUGAUUUUUUCAAGUAAAAAUUUUGUGGGGGACAUACCAGAUACAUUUCAUGGAACCAUCGUCAAAUUCGAUUUCAUAUGAAAAAAAUAUGGAAUGUGACGUAAGAUAAAGAAUUAUCAGUAAAUUGAAACUUUUAAUUAAAUUGACUCGGUAGUGGUGUUCAUUGUUUUUGUUGAUUGUAUUUGUGGGUGAAGAAAAAUGGAGAAAUGGAGGAUUUUUACAUGGGUGUUAGUGCGGAUGAAUUUUGAUAUGUAUGGAGGGUUUGUUGCCCGAAAAUUCUUGAGGGAGGAGGAAGUUAGAUGUGAAGGGAGUAUUUGAUUGGUGGAGAGAAUUUCUUCAUCCGAGAAAGGAGGAGGAGUAGGUGGUGCCUUUCCAUUUUUGUG